GACGAACGCUGGCGGCGUGCUUAACACAUGCAAGUCGAACGGUAAGGCCCUUCGGGGUACACGAGUGGCGAACGGGUGAGUAACACGUGGGUGAUCUGCCCUGCACUUCGGGAUAAGCCUGGGAAACUGGGUCUAAUACCGGAUAGUACCAUGCGCUUCACGGUGUGUGGUGGAAAGCUUUUGCGGUGUGGGAUGGGCCCGCGGCCUAUCAGCUUGUUGGUGGGGUAAUGGCCUACCAAGGCGACGACGGGUAGCCGGCCUGAGAGGGUGACCGGCCACGCUGGGACUGCGAUACGGCCCAGACUCCUACGGGAGGCAGCAGUGGGGAAUAUUGCACAAUGGGCGCAAGCCUGAUGCAGCGACGCCGCGUGAGGGAUGACGGCCUUCGGGUUGUAAACCUCUUUCAGUAGGGACGAAGCGCAAGUGACGGUACCUACAGAAGAAGGACCGGCCAACUACGUGCCAGCCGCCGCAGUAA
rnacentral:rRNA from 1 species